rnacentral:rRNA from 1 species
AUUGUUCGCAAUGGGCGCAAGCCUGACGACGCAACGCCGCGUGGAGGAUGAAGAUUUUCGGAUCGUAAACUCCUGUCGAAUGGGACGAAUAGAUUGCGGGUUAACAGCCCGUAGUCCUGACGGUACCGUUAAAGGAAACCCCGGCUAACUACGUGCCAGCAGCCGCGGUAAGACGUAGGGGGCGAGCGUUAUCCGGAUUCACUGGGCGUAAAGGGCGCGCAGGCGGCUAUGUAAGUCCGGCGUGAAAUCCCAUGGCUUAACUGUGGAACUGCGUCGGAUACUGCAUUGGCUUGAGGACGGUAGAGGCUUCUGGAACUAGCGGUGUAGCGGUGAAAUGCGCAGAUAUCGCUAGGAACGCCGGUGGCGAAGGCGGGAAGCUGGGCCGAUCCUGACGCUGAGGCGCGAAAGCUAGGGGAGCGAAC